UACGGAGGGUGCAAGCGUUAUCCGGAUUCACUGGGUUUAAAGGGUGCGUAGGAGGGCAGGUAAGUCAGUGGUGAAAUCUCCGAGCUUAACUUGGAAACUGCCGUUGAUACUAUCUGUCUUGAAUAUUGUGGAGGUGAGCGGAAUAUGUCAUGUAGCGGUGAAAUGCUUAGAUAUGACAUAGAACACCAAUUGCGAAGGCAGCUCACUACGCGAAUAUUGACACUGAGGCACGAAAGCGUGGGGAUCAAACAGG
rnacentral:rRNA from 1 species